GGUGCACGUGCAACGGAGACACCGCCCCUAAACCUGGGGCCCUGAGGCUAACAGCUAACAGUGGCCCUGCCGUUACGGCCAGUGUCAGGUGCCAGCUGGGCUGGACCAGGAAUUCCCAGAAACCUGGCAAGGCAUGAUUUGGGGUGGGUCGUGCUGAGGGCCACACCAUCCGCUUCCCCGCUUCUGAGGCCUUCCGACCUGGGCUGAGCCCGGCUACCCGAGUCCCGGGGUCUCCGGCUCACAGACUUCUCGGCCUCCGUAAUUGCAAACGCCAGCUCCCCCAGUCCAUCUCCUGUCCUGGAUCUACGUCUAUAUCCUACUGGAUCCGUCUCUCUGGAGAACCCUAAUACAGCUGUCAACACAAGGAUGAACUAACUACAAGAAGGCCUGAAUAGGAACUCUCCCAGGGGACGAAGAGGUUUCAGCCUUCAGCAAAGGAUGGUUCAUAGAAACCGUUCGCAUAGUCGGCCCUCCACGGACUGCAACCCUAGUUAAUAUUACCUACAGUAAACAAAAAAUUCAAGUAUAGAUUUUAGUCUAAAGCAAAUAGGAAAUGUCGCUUCCCUGGACGUUGGGAGAAGCAAACACGAAUCCUCUCCUGAGGCCGGAAGCGGUGGCUCACGCCUGUAAUCCCAGCACUUUGGGAGGCUGAGGCGGGCGGAUCAUUUUAUAACUAUCUAUUAAAUGUUUAAGUUUUCAGUCCAUUUUUCCUGUCUACAUGGAAUUGCCGACUGCACAAAGAACACAUGAGGGCUCUCUCAAGGCCAUCAUUUCCGCGGAGUCCCAUUUCCUGACUCAAAUGACAAGCUCUCAACUUUCUACUCAAGAUCAUUGAAACAUCUGUGUUGAUUAUUUGUAACCGGGAUAUGCUUUAUUUAUUAGAUAAGAGACUAACC